UUCAGAAACCUAAAAAUGGGCAAAAAGCUCCCCAGAGGAAAAAAGAGUAGAAGUGGCAAGGCAGCUAAUGGCUUUGCCAGAAGGCAGGUCUGGGGGUGAAGAGGUAAGGUUUGCUGUGCCAGUUAACGCAUCUGCUUAAAUGCUAGGGCAAGAAGUUGGGUUUUAUUUUGAAGGCAUUGGGAAGCCUUAAUUUUUGAGGAAGAAAAUGAAAAAAAAAAGUGUUUCAGGAACAUUAAUAUGGCAACAGUGUUGAAGUCGAGGAGAAUAACUAGAUUAUUGCUAUAGUACGAAAAAGCUAAUGAAGGCCUGAAUUUGAGUGGUAGCAGUGAGGUGGAAAACAGGGAGCAGGUGUGAGAAAUGUUGUAGCGUCAGAACCCACAGGAAAGGCCUGCUGGGUGUUGGUGCUUGAGAGAUCACGGACUCAGCUCUGCCUAACCGAGUUGUUUCGUUUAUUGGAAGAAAGUGCACGACAGGGAAGUCUGGGGGAGGUAGUCAUCAUGUCAAGUUUAGUCGUCACUGAACUUGAGGGACCAUUAAGACAAUCUGGUAGACAGUCUGCUAAGCAGCUGGAAAUGCAGGAUUCGAGCUUAAGAGAGACUGGGGUGGGGUAAACAUAUGGCAUCCUCUGCCUAGAGGUGGUGGUUGAGAACGUGACAUCCAUGAGAUCACCAGGGAAGAGACUGGGAGCGGAACUAAGGCAGGUAGACAAGGACAGAUCCUUGGGCAAUGCCAAGAACAACAGGAAUGAGAAGAUGAGCCAGAGAGAGUAGUCAGAGACAGAAGAGGAAGCCCAGAGAAGGUGAUCAUGUAGAAGUCGAGGAGAGGGGAGUUUGAAAGAGGAAGUGGAGAGCGUGAUCUCACCUGGCCAGCGUUUGCCGAGAACCUGCUGUGUGCCGGGCGCAGGCGGCAAGACCGGUCAGAGCUGGCCCUUGUGGAACUUGGGUUCUGGUGAGAAAGACAGGCACUGUUUGCAUAAUUAACAGUGUAGUAGCUAUUAUCACUAAGUACAGGAUAUUUGGGGGCCGUAUAACGGUAACACUUCUUGUUUUGUUGUGGGAAUGUGCAGAAAAGGAGACUUGAAGGAUGAAUAAGAUGAGGGGUUGGACACUUUCUACUAAAGUACCAGGUGAGAAAGAGUUGCUAUGUCGAAGGACUUGAAGUAGGUCGUGUGGCCUCAGCAGAGAGUGGGGAUGGCCUGAGAUACCAGGUAACAUUUGGUGAGCGUGUUGUCUGUACCAGGUACUGUCGGCCCUGCUUUCCCUGUAUUACCAGAUCAUGCAGGCAUCAGAGACCUUGUUCAGAAUUUGGUUCUUUACCUUUGGACAGUGAGAAAUGAAAAGAGUGUUUUGAUCAGCAGAGGGAUAUGAAAAGAUUUGAGGGGGAGAGGGAGGUUGUGGGGACUCUGAUGAAGCUAUUACAGGGGCCGGAUGAUAGAUGGAUGAUGGUGGCUUGGUCUGGGGUGGGAGUAGUAGUAAGGAUUGAAAAGAGAGAUGAACUUGAGAGGUGAACUUGAGGAGCCUUGGGCGAUUAAAUGGGGACAGGGAUGAGGAAGUGGGAGGAGUUCAAGCUGAUUCUCUGGUUUCUGGCUGGAGCGAUGGGGCAAGUAUCACUUGAGAAAGGGAAUACUACAGGAGGAAUUGGCUGGGAGAUGAGAGAAGAUCCUGAUUGUGGCUCUGUUAGGGCUGCGUUGAGUAGGAGGCACCUACCUCAGUGACAUAUCCGGGUCACGCUGGCAGUUCAAUCUUGGAAGAGAUGCAUAGGCUGGAGAGAGAAAUUCAUAAUCUCUGGCAGAAGUGUGUGGAUCAAAUUGUCCAUGGCAGUAGUUCUCAAAUUUCAUGGUGGACCAGAAUCACUGGAAGGUUCAAUACAGACUUCUGGGCCCCCUCCCAGGGUUUUUUCUCCAGUAGGUCUGGCGGUGGAGAACAAGAGUUUGCAUUCUAACGGGUUCCCAGGCAGUGCGCGUGCUGCUGAUCCAGAGAACACAUCUUGAGGAGGUAUAGACUGAGAGAAGAGGAGACUCAGAGCCUAACCUUGAGGAAAUCAUUUUUUUUUUUAAGUGGAAUAGGAGGAACCUACAGAGAAGGCUGAAAAAUAAGUAGGAGGAGAAAAUAGUAUUUGUUAUAUUUAGCUGAAUAAGGCUGUGAAUACUUUGGCGAGAACAUUUUCAUGGAGUGGUGGGACAAGGCCAAAUUGCAAGAAAUGUGGCAUAAGUAGAAGGAAUGAAGAAAGAAUAUAAAAGGUAGAUGACGUUCUGAGGAAGUUUUGCUAUAAAACGAAGAAGACUGGCUAGAAGAGGCUUGAGUGUAUUUAAAUGUGAAUAAAAAGAUGCUUGAUGAAAAGAUGCCAGUAGAAGGAAAGAGACUGGGGGCUGGAGGUGGAGAAGACGCAGUUAAUAAGCCACAGCUCAGGGUUCCUGAGGGGAAGGAGGAGAUAGGAUCAGGUACUGGUGGCGCUACGUGGAGAGUCCCGUCCUCGUUUAUCAGGUGGGAAGGAGGAGAGGAGGGGUGCAGGUACGUCUGUACGUGUGGUGACAGGAAGUCGACUUGGUUCCUCUCUCACAGCUUCUGUUUCUUUGUGAAGUAGGUGAGGCCGUCUACUGAGACAGGGAAGCAGUUUCAAGGAAAGUGGAGAGAGUGUGACUGGCCUCUGCAGAAAGUGGGGAAAUUAGUUGACAGGAGAAGCACGAUAGGAUUGCGAGGUUGUGUCGAGUGCCUGGGCGAGAAUGGUGACUGCACAUGUGGAGUGUGUGUGCUCCUCUCAGUGCCCUUGGAGUUUGGGUGUGGGUGGGGAGACGGUGGUUAGCAGCGGAUGGCUGCAAAGCAGAGGAAGCUGUGGCCUAGGGAUGGGAGUGCUUCGAGUACUGGAGAGUCCUUGCAAGGCGGGACUGUGGAAUGGAAGCGGGACAGGAAGUAAAGUGACACACUGCAGAUAAGUCAAGAAAGAGAAAAGAGAUGAAGAAAAACCAUUGUUUAGUGUAGGAAUUUCUGUGUCACUUAUAUGCGUUUGUCAUAGACAAUUCCUAGCAUGAGCAAAGAAUUCACUCCCACCAAUGUCACUGCUACCACUUUCCUAGGUCAUUGACGUUUUUUAAAGUGGUUAAGAUUAAUUUUCUGACGUUCUCCUUUUUUUAAAGCAACAUCUAGGUUUUAAAUUAAACCUACAUUUAAAGCAUUAAAUUUCUUUCAUAUAUCUGUAUCUAUAGAUGUACAUCUGUAACUAUCCAUCCAUCCACAUGCCACACUCUCGGACUUUGUUUUCUAGAAUUCUAAUCUACAGUGAGAAUGAUACGGCUCUUUUACAGUCUGUUUUGGUCAUGGGUUUUGGAAUAUACAUGAAAGGGAUUGUAUAGAAGUAACAUGAUUUCUUCUAACUUCAGGAAAAUAUUUUUUGAAAAUAAUAAAGUAGAUAAAUUGGCAAAGUUAUACCACAAUUGCUGACCUCUUCAGGACUUCAGUAGAAGGAAAAUAAAUUUUCACUAUAUGUGCAUUUACCAGUAAGAAAGGAGGAGUACUAGAAACCAGAGAAGGGAAUCCAGAGGGGAGAGGAAGAGUAAGACAGAAAACUGAGAGGGGAAGGAUAAAACACACAACCCGGAGGGUUUUAUUUUAGGCCCAACUACUGUGUUCUGUUUGAUGAGGGCAAAGAGGCGACAAUAAGGAGAAAGCAGAGGGAACAAGAAACUGGAGGCCUCUAUAAAUUCACAGUAUGGGUAGAAUGGGAGUAAAGAAGGGGAAAAAACCCAAAAAGAAAGAGUGUCUUGUACCCGGAAGAGGGUCCUGGGUCAAAGUGUUGGAAGAAAUAGAGGAGCAGAGGAGUGUAGUCAAAGAGGAGAGUAGUUGUGGCAAGUGUCAAGUUUUAUUGGCUGAAGAGGAAGCUCCUUGGGGUUGAAGAUCUCAGUAAAUUGAGUGCAGGAGUUGGAGAAGAUACCAGUUUAGAAGCAAAAAUUGCCAAAGAGGUUGGCAGGGAGAGAUGACCAGAGCCUGGUGCGAGUGUUCUGUACAUUAGCAAGAGUGUGGAUUUCAGGAGGCGGUGCUGAUAAAUGGUGGCCAUGGAAUUUUCUCCCAAAGCAGCGAUUUAGUCUAAGGUCUCUGUAGACCUCUCUUUGCUCUUUGAGUAGGAAGAACUCAAAGGAACACUUCUUGGGAGGAGGUUGUGAGAAUGGUGAUGUCUCGGGCGGGAGUGGGGGGUAGGGGGGAGGCAGACAGUAAAGGUGAAGAGAUAAAAGGAGUUCUUGAGAGAAAAGUGGAGAAUACAGGGGAGUGUGUCGGUGAUGAGUAGAGUCUCGAGGAUGAUGGGCAGUGAAGUUGUUGUGGAGAGGGAGAGGCUGAGCCUAAUGAGGGUCCUGGGGAUUAGCGGGGUAAGCAGUCUGCCCUAAAGCAGCCGUGAGUAGAUGUGACAGGGAGAGGAACACCAAAGUUGCUGGACAGGCUGAAGCAGUGGCCUCCAACCCUUCUCACCGUGUAUCCUGUGUUUGCAAUGGCUGCUGCUGUGAACCUGGAACUUGAUCCCAUUUUUUUGAAAGCACUGGGCUUCUUACAUUCGAAGAGUAAGGACUCUGCUGAAAAGCUGAAGGCAUUACUUGAUGAAUCUUUGGCUCGGGGCGUUGAUUCAAGUUACCGUCCAUCCCAAAAGGAUGUGGAGCCACCCAAAAUUUCAAGCACAAAAACUAUUUCCAUUAAGCAAGAGCCCAAAACCUCAUCCAGUCUUCCUUCUGGCAGUAAUAAUGGCAGGGCCCUCACAGCGGAGAAGGUGAAGAAGGAGGCUGAGAAGAGGCCUGCGGAUAAGGUGAAAUCUGACAUCACUGAAGCACUUGAUCUUCCCAAGAAACCUAGAUUGGAGAAACCAGAGACACGGUCCUCUCCCAUUACCGUCCAGACCAGCAAGGACUUAGCCAUGGCUGACCUGUCCAGUUUCGAGGAGACCAGUGCUGACGAUUUUGCCAUGGAGAUGGGCUUGGCCUGUGUUGUUUGUAGGCAAAUGACGGUGGCAUCUGGUAAUCAGUUAGUGGAAUGUCAGGAGUGCCACAAUCUCUACCACCAAGAUUGCCACAAGCCGCAGGUGACAGACAAGGAAGUGAAUGACCCUCGCCUGGUGUGGUACUGUGCCCGAUGCACCAGACAAAUGAAGAGAAUGGCUCAAAAAACUCAGAAACCACCCCAGAAACCAGCCCCCACCGUUGUUUCUGUAGUUCCAGCUGUCAAAGACCCAUUGGUUAAGAAAACAGAAACUAAAUUCAAACCAGAGACAACUUUUCAAGCAUUUAAGAGAACGGAAGUCAAGCCAUCCACAGUUAUUUCAGGAAAUUUUUCCACUACCAGUGUUUCUUCUUCAGUAACUAGUGGCCUCACUGGAUGGGCAGCUUUUGCAGUCAAAACUUCUGGGGGUCCAUCAGCAGCAAAACUGAGUCUAUCGACCCAGAACAGCAGCGGGAAACCUGCGGCCUCGUCAGCUAACCAGAAGCCUGUGGGUCUGACUGGUCUGGCCAGCUCCUCCAAAGGCGGAAUAGGUUCCAAAGUAGGUUCCAGCAGCAGCACCACACCCACCGUGCCCCUGAAGCCCCCUCCGCCUCUGACUUUGGGCAAAACCAGCCUUAGUCGCUCAGUUAGUUGUGACAAUGUCAGCAAAGUAGGUCUUCCUAGUCCAAGUAGCUUAGUUCCAGGAAGUAGCAGCCAACUAAGUGGGAAUGGGAAUAGCGGGACAUCAGGGCCUAGCGGAAGUACCGCCGGCAAAACCACCGCAGAACCAAGCAGCUCUCCCUCCACGUCCCUUAAAGGUCCCACUUCCCAGGAAUCACAGCUCAAUGCCAUGAAGCGGUUACAGAUGGUCAAGAAGAAAGCCGCGCAGAAGAAACUCAAGAAGUAAUGUGGCCAAGAAGAUGCGAGGCGUUCUGGAUCAGAGGAGCAGUUUAUUUCUCAUAGAAAAUGCAGCAGCCGCGCUGUACUUCCUGAAUACCUCAUUUCAUCCAGAAACUGCCAGUUCGGCAAAUUCCCACACUGAGCGGCCUUGUUCCUUCAGCUGAGAAGAGUCGCUGAAUCUUGGCUGUGAGCCUCCAAGCUCAGACUCUUCCCUUUCUCCCUAGGUUUUUCUAACAUCAUUAUUCUAAAAUACAUUGCUCUGACAGUUCAUGUGGCCUCAGCACCUACCGGACAUUCAAGCAGCGACGCACGCGGCUGGCACACUGGCCCUCAAGCGGGAAAAUGUCCUCCUGUCACCGUCAACAUAUGUGCUGCACCGAGUUGAGGGGAGAAGCAAUUAUUGUAGCGUCUGGUGCUUCAGAAGAGUUGUUUAGUAGUGUUUUCAUUGGUCGGGGCUCUUGUUGUAGAUUGUGUGUACGUACAAGUAUUUAGAGUCCGCACAUCUGUGUAAGUAUGCGUACAUCUAGUAGUGUGUGACUCAGUUUGGUAUUUUCUAGAGGUGUAUUUGGCAUUAGAGUUUGUCUUCAAGGAGCUCUUAGAGCAUGGUUUUCCCAUGUCGUUAAGUGAGCUCCAAGGCUUUUUGACUGAGCAUGUGAUGAAAGUGGCCACUCUGUAUUAGUAGUAUUUAUCAUAUAUUUUGUUUUGUUGUGUAUAGCUCGUCUUUCUCGCUAGAAUAUAAGUUGUGUGAGGGCAGGGAUCUUGUCUUGCACACUGGUAUUCCCGCUGCAGCUCUCAGUGAAUAUUUAUGGGCUCGAUGAAUGAAUAGACAGAUAAGUAAAUAAGCCAACAGGUAAACUUUUAGAAUGGUAGGUCAAAUCCCAUUUUAGUAGAAAUUUGGUCAGUAUCACUUUUCUGUUUUGCAUAUUGUGCUGUUAGAUUAUUAAUCACAGAUUUUAGUUACUUUCAAAAAAAAAGGAACACUGGCUUAAAGUCAGAAGACCUGGUUUUGAACUCCAGUUCCUCCACGUAUUAGCUGUGUGAUCCUGGUUCCCUCCACUGUAAACGUCGCUGUUAGUGCCUUUGAGCCGAUUCCGACUCCUGGAGACCAACCCUGUGGGCAGCGGAACGCAGCCUUGCCCGCUCUUUCUGCACCAUCCUCUCACCAUCCGGCGCCGUUUCGGAUGCUGCUCCACUGCUGCCACUCACAGGGUUUUCAUGGUCAGUGUGUUUGGAAGUGGGUGGCCAGGUCCUUCUUCCUAGUCUCUCUAUUCUGGAAUCUCUGCUGAAACCUGUCCGCCAUGGGUGACCCUGCUGGUAUUUGAAAUCUUGGUGGCACAGCUUUCAAUAUCACAGCAACCCUCAGCCACCAGUGUGACAACCGACAGAUGGGUUGUGUGGUUCCCUGACGAGGAAACAAACCUGGAUUGUAGUGGUGAGAGCGCCAGAUCUUAACCACUAGACUACCAGGGCUGACCUAUAAAACACAGAUGAUAAUUAAUGAGAUAAAAUAGCAGGCAUCUAAUAUUCAAAGGUUAGGGUAAUUCUGUCUCUUAACACGGAUGUGGUGGUACUGUUUAUUAGUAACUGAGAUUAUAAAUUAUAUUGUGAUAGCCAUAGGUUAUAUAGGAAAUACAUCAUUUUACAGAAAUUUUAUUAAUGCAGUAAUUACAAAAAUUAUAUAAGCAACUAGAGAAAGCUAUAAAUACAUUUCUAUAGCAUAAUAUUGUUUUUUUAAGUAAGAUAAGCUUUAUUUAAUUUCCUAAGAAUACAUCCCCUAGAUUUUUGAACAGGAACAUCUCAUUCCAGUGUAUGCUGGAGUGUGACUUGUUCUCCCUAAAAUCUAAAGCACUCUUGCCUGUCUCUAGAGGGUGAUGUCAUGACAGCAGCAGCUGGCCUGCAGAGGCUCGGCUUCAACUCCAGCAGCCCUGGAGUGAAGAUUUGUUAUAUUGGAAUAAUUUUGUACAUCACAGAGAAUGUAAUGACUGGGUUUUUAUAUGUAUUUUUUAGUAUGUAUAAGAAGAGGGAAGGUAACUGAAAAAAUUAGACUUUAAAAAUAAUAACAUUCUAUAGAUACUAGUAUAUCGCUGGAGAGUAUACAGUCUAAUGUCCUUCCAGUCAAUGACAUUUCCUUUCUUCCUCAUUAACUAUAAAGUAAAUUUACAUAUCUGAUUUAGCUCAGAUUUCAUGAGGUCUAGAUGUGCUCAGCAUUGAGCAGUGCAUUGAGUACCUUAAGAAGCCAUAGUCACAACAAACAGGAUUUAAAUAAAGUGGUCUUCUUGCCAUCUCAGAAUGUAAAGAUUUCUUCUCUUUAUUCACAUGGCUUUGAGAGGUUUUUUUUUUGCAAUAGACAAAAAUCCAAGAAGUUUAUGGGAAAAAUGAAGAGUUUUUAAUUCCAUAUUUCAGAAAUGAAAACACUAAUUUUUUGUAAAUCAUCUGAAUUAUUCAUCACAAAUAAUGUCAGGCACUUAAUAGCCAUCUCUAAAAGUCCAAAGUGCAUUUUAGGCAAAAUCUGGAAUGUAUCAGCACUUAAAGUAUUUCAUGCAGUGCUGCAUUUGUAGCGCUAACCGUGUGCGUUGUGUCUCUUCUGCACAACUCAACCUUCGUAGAAUUGUUUUAUAGCAAUGAAUAUUAAAGAGGAUAUUUUUCUGAGAUAUAAAGAAUGUUUAACUAAUGGCUUUUUGACUUUUUCACGUGAUUUAAGCACCCAUGAUAAUUUUGUAUAACUGAUUUUUUAUAAUUUCUAAAGUUUU